CAGCCGCCACGGGAAUACGGAGGGGGCUAGCGUUGUUCGGAAUUACUGGGCGUAAAGCGCACGUAGGCGGCUUGGUAAGUUAGAGGUGAAAGCCCGGAGCUCAACUCCGGAAUUGCCUUUAAGACUGCCGAGCUAGCAGGUGAGAGAGGUAAGUGGAAUUCCGAGUGUAGAGGUGAAAUUCGUAGAUAUAGGAAGGAACACCAGUGGCGAAGGCGACCACCUGGGCUCAUACUGACACUGAGGUGCGAAAGCGUGGGGAGCAAACAGGAUUAGAUACCCCUGUAGUCCCUGUCUCUUAUAA
rnacentral:rRNA from 1 species